rnacentral:lncRNA from 1 species
CAGUUCAGUGUGUUAUAGUGUCUCUAGGAGGUGAACUACUGUAACAGUUCAGUGUGUUAUAGUGUCUCUAUGCGGUGAACUACUGUAACAGUUCAGUGUGUUAUAGUGUCUCUAGGAGGUGAACUACUGUAACAGUUCAGUGUGUUCUAGUGUCUCUCUCUAUGUAGUGAACUACUGUAACAGUUCAGUGUGUUCUAGUGUCUCUCUCUAUGUAGUGAACUACUGUAACAGUUCAGUGUGUUAUAGUUUAUCUAGUAGGUGAAAUACUGUAACAGUUCAGUGUGUUACAGUGCCUCUACCCUUUUGGUGAAAUACUGUAACAGUUCAGUGUUUUAUAGUGUCUCUUGGAGGUGAACUACUGUAACAGUUCAGUGUAUUAUACUGUCUCUAGGAGGUGAACUACUGUAACAGUUCAGUGUGUUAUAGUGUCGCUAUCUUGGAGGUGAACUACUGUAACAUUUCAGUGUGUUAUAGUGUCUCUAGGAGAUGUACUACUGUAACAGUUCAGUGUGUUCUAGUGUCUCUCUCUAUGUAGUGAACUACUGUAACAGUUCAGUGUGUUAUAGUGUCUCUAGGAGGUGAACUACUGCAACAGUUCAGUGUGUUAUAGUGUCUCUAGGAGGUGAACUACUGUAACAGUUCAGUGUGUUUUAGUGUCUCUAGGAGGUGAACUACUGAAACAGUUCAGUGUGUUAUAGUGUCUCUUGGAGGUGAACUACUGAAAAGUUCAGUGUGUUAUAGUGUCACUAGGAGGUGAACUACUGUUACAGUUAAGUGUGUUAUAGUGUCACCAUCCAGGAGGUGAACUACUGUAACAGCUGUGUGUUAUAUUGUCUCUAGGAGGUGAACUACAGUAACAAUUCUGUGUGUUAUAGUGUCUCUAUCCUGUUGGUGAACUACUGUAACAGUACAGUGUGUUAUAGUGUCACUAGGAGGUGAAACACUGUAACAGUUCAGUGUGUUAUAGUGUCUCUAGGAGGUGAACUACUGUAACAGUUCAGUGUGUUAUAGUGUCUCUAUGCGGUGAACUACUGUAACAGUUCAGUGUGUUUUAGUGAGUUUGUUAUAGUGUCACUA